ACAAUGGGGGAAACCCUGAUGCAGCGACGCCGCGUGAGUGAAGAAGUAUUUCGGUAUGUAAAGCUCUAUCAGCAGGGAAGAAAAAAGAGUUAAAACUCUUGGACGGUACCUGAGUAAGAAGCCCCGGCUAACUACGUGCCAGCAGCCGCGGUAAUACGUAGGGGGCAAGCGUUAUCCGGAUUUACUGGGUGUAAAGGGAGCGUAGACGGUUAUGCAAGUCUGGAGUGAAAGCCCGGGGCUCAACCCCGGGACUGCUUUGGAAACUGUAAAACUGGAGUGCAGGAGAGGCAGGCGGAAUUCCUAGUGUAGCGGUGAAAUGCGUAGAUAUUAGGAGGAACACCAGUGGCGAAGGCGGCCUGCUGGACUGUAACUGACGUUGAGGCUCGAAGGCGUGGGGAGCAAACAGG
rnacentral:rRNA from 1 species